rnacentral:rRNA from 1 species
AUGCGACAUACAUUCGUCCCCGCUUAUUAUACUCGUGACAUGAUUAAAAAGUUGCAACAUUUAAAACAAGGUAGUGACACUGUAACGAAAUAUUAUGAUGAUUUACAAACUACCUUGUUGCAUUCCUCUUUGGCAGAAAGUGAAGAAGAAUUUAUGGAUAGAUUUUGGGGAGGAUUAAACCGUGACAUUCAGGAGAUACUAAUUCAUGAAACAUGUUAUCCUAUGGACCGUUUGUUUCGUCUUGCUUGCAAAGCUGAACAGGAGAUAACAAGACGUGUUGCCCACAAGAUAAACAAGCGGAAGGUGCAAAUCCCACGAGUUGCGACGGUUGUUCCUUCCACCACUACGUCUCCUAUGGCAACAACAUCCACUGUUGAGAGCACUACAUCAGCUCCACCAUGUGACGUAUCGCCACCUAGAGUGCCUACAUCAUCUUUGUUGAUCAUAAGAGGUAAUGACAAAGGUACCGAUCUUCCACCUCCACAUGAGUAUGAUGAAUUCCUUGUCAAUUUAAAUGAACCAUGCGAUGAGCUACCCACUACUUUGAUCACACCAGCUAUUUUAGAGGACUAUGUUCAUGAUUUGACUUUGCCAUGUGAUCAAACAAUUUUGAGUGAACCCAUUGAAUUAACUAUUGAUGCAAAAGAACCAUGUGAAUCAGUGAAAAGAUCAUAUUUGGAUCAAAUACGUUUGAAAAUAGUUGUGCCAAUGUUUAAUCAUUUUGAUAUGACCUCUAAUCUUGGUGAUGGUUCAUCAAGGUUGGGAUGGUUUAAUGAUGAGCAUUGCCAAUCUUUUAUUAUGAAUAAGAGCUUCACUUAUAUGUGCAAACUGAGUUGCAAUAUUUUCAUGCCUUUGACUUCUUGUGAUAAUAUAUUGGCUUUAUUUUUCACGACUUUUGAAGGGUGCUCUUGUAUAACUGUGUCACAUGUGCCACAACUGAGAUCAGUUAAAAUGGAUGACAUAUACAUAUACAACAUGUACACCUUGUCUCUAUUGUUAGCCAUAUUUCAGAUUAAGCAACGCCGAGGACGGCUUUGUUUUCAAGAAGGGGAGGAUGAUGAGGACAUGGCUACCACAGUUACACCCAUAUCCCCUAUUGUUUUACCUCUUGGAACAGUUGCUAGAGCUCGCCAAUUAAAUUAUCAGGUACUUUCGUUUCUUGGUAAUGUUUCUAGUGUUCAUGAGAAUAUGAUGCUGCCUAACUUAGAUACAUUUGUGUUGCUUCCAAUUGAAGGGCCUAGCACGGACAAGAAGGAUGAACAUUGGAGCAUGGUCAAGCACGGAGAUGAAGGUGCGUGCAAAGAGAACAAGAACGGAGGUUCAAGUGGAGAUUUCCGGACUUUGAAGCCACCAUGA